AGGUCCUUUAUGAUAUCCUCUUGAAGGGGAUUGUGGGACCCCAGUACCUUCCUCUUUCUCUCUUUUGCCUCCUGGCCAUGGGAUGAGUGGGUUUUCUCUACCACAUACUCCCACCACGAUGCACUGACUUUUCUCAAAGCUACCAGGCCAAAUGAUGUGAAACAGUGAGCCAAACAAACCUUUUUACUUAUAAAUUAUCUCAGGUUAUUUUGUAGUGAUGGAAGGCUGACUAACCCAGAGGCUUUAAGGAUUAUCUCAUCUAUAUUAUCUCCACAUGACUCUUCUCACACAUAUAUACUUCCCUUUCAGAGGCCACAGACUUUUUGUUGAACCGAAACUGUGAUCUUUGUUCUGUUGCCUAGACCACACUGACCAGGCCUACUUCAAGGGUCUAUGUGAUGGUGGCUAAGCAUCCCAGCUUUCACUACCUCCGCAACCUGCCCUAAAAGCCAUUAUACUUCUCUUGAGUGAGGUGUCCAAAGUGAAGAGGAAAAGACCUGAGGAUUCCCUUGCCUCCAUCACAGUUUUGCCUAGGGCUUGAUCUACAGUUGUAGCUGCUUCUGGAUUUUCUGAUUUACCAAAUAUUGAAAGACAUGUGAAGUUAAACAACAACAACAACAAACCCACAACGAAACAGAGGUAAAUGGCUGGAAUUUUAAGUAGUGCGAUUUCACUACAGUGACUAAGAUGCAUCUGGAAUUACUGGAAAAUAAAACCAGAUGACAUAGUUUCGUUUGUCCUUAUGGCUGAGUAAAACUUCAUUGUGAGUAUGUAUGUAUACGCCGCAUUUUCUUCACCCUCUCAUCUGUUCGUGGACACCUCGGCUGAUUUCAAAUCUCGGCUUUUGUGAACAGAGCUGCAGUAAACGUGGAGUGCAGGUUUUCAUGGAGUGGUCUGCCCCUUCUCACCCCUUCUGCGAGGGAAUCUAGAUGGCCUCAUCUGUGAGGAAGGAACAAGCCCUCACCAAACCCAAACCGGUGGGUGCUUUGAUCUUGGACUUCCCAGCCUUCAGAAAUGCAAGUAUGAGAGUCUGUCCCAUAUCUGGGAUGUGACUUACUGCUUCUUAUCUCUGCCUUGCCCUCCUGGAAGCCCAAGAUCUCUGGCAUCAAAUUCCCCUGGGCCUGGAAUACCCACAGUUGAGGAGUAGAAGUUUCAUGGGUCCAUUGUUCAGCCUGGAGGUGCCAUGGAAAGCAGAGUCAGCACUCCAUGCUAUGCUCCAUAUCCAGAGUAGAGAAAGGAAUAACUGAAUGUAGUCAUAUCAGGUCUCACUGCAGAAGGCAUGCAUUUUCCUGUAUCCAUUUGUUGGAGUUAACUAUGCUUAGUUCUAGUUUCGUGUGCUUUUUGGAGAAAAAGCAGUGCUGCUAAGGCAUUUGUUUAAGGAGUAGAUAGACUUAAGUAUAUUUUCCCCCAUCUCUGUGAUUCUGUUUUUAAGGGAGAUGAGAAUUAAAAAACUGUAUCAAGUC